UACGGAGGGGGCUAGCGUUGUUCGGAAUUACUGGGCGUAAAGCGCACGUAGGCGGCUUUGCAAGUCAGAGGUGAAAGCCCGGGGCUCAACCCCGGAAUUGCCUUUGAGACUGCAUCGCUAGAAUUGUGGAGAGGUAAGUGGAAUUCCGAGUGUAGAGGUGAAAUCCGUAGAUAUUCGGAAGAACACCAGUGGCGAAGGCGACUUACUGGACACAUAUUGACGCUGAGGUGCGAAAGCGUGGGGAGCAAACAGG
rnacentral:rRNA from 1 species